UACGUAGGGUGCAAGCGUUAUCCGGAUUUACUGGGUUUAAAGGGUGCGUAGGUGGGUUGGUAAGUCAGUGGUGAAAUCUUCGAGCUUAACUCGGAAACUGCCAUUGAUACUAUCAAUCUUGAAUUAUCUGGAGGUAAGCGGAAUAUGUCAUGUAGCGGUGAAAUGCUUAGAUAUGACAUAGAACACCCAUUGCGAAGGCAGCUUACUACGGAUAUAUUGACACUGAGGCACGAAAGCGUGGGGAUCAAACAGG
rnacentral:rRNA from 1 species